GACGAACGCUGGCGGCGUGCCUAAUACAUGCAAGUCGAGCGAGCGGAACUAACAGAUUUACUUCGGUAAUGACGUUAGGAAAGCGAGCGGCGGAUGGGUGAGUAACACGUGGGGAACCUGCCCCAUAGUCUGGGAUACCACUUGGAAACAGGUGCUAAUACCGGAUAAGAAAGCAGAUCGCAUGAUCAGCUUUUAAAAGGCGGCGUAAGCUGUCGCUAUGGGAUGGCCCCGCGGUGCAUUAGCUAGUUGGUAAGGUAAAGGCUUACCAAGGCGAUGAUGCAUAGCCGAGUUGAGAGACUGAUCGGCCACAUUGGGACUGAGACACGGCCCAAACUCCUACGGGAGGCAGCAGUAGGGAAUCUUCCACAAUGGACGCAAGUCUGAUGGAGCAACGCCGCGUGAGUGAAGAAGGUUUUCGGAUCGUAAAGCUCUGUUGUUGGUGAAGAAGGAUAGAGGUAGUAACUGGCCUUUAUUUGACGGUAAUCAACCAGAAAGUCACGGCUAACUACGUGCCAGCAGCCGCGGUAAUACGCAGGGGAUGACGUCAAGUCAUCAUGCCCCUUAUGACCUGGGCUACACACGUGCUACAAUGGGCAGUACAACGAGAAGCGAGCCUGCGAAGGCAAGCGAAUCUCUGAAAGCUGUUCUCAGUUCGGACUGCAGUCUGCAACUCGACUGCACGAAGCUGGAAUCGCUAGUAAUCGCGGAUCAGCACGCCGCGGUGAAUACGUUCCCGGGCCUUGUACACACCGCCCGUCACACCAUGGGAGUCUGCAAUGCCCAAAGCCGGUGGCCUAACCUUCGGGAAGGAGCCGUCUAAGGCAGGGCAGAUGACUGGGGUGAAGUCGUAACAAGGUAACC
rnacentral:rRNA from 1 species